rnacentral:rRNA from 1 species
CCAGACUCCUACGGGAGCAGCAGUGGGGAAUAUUGGACAAUGGGCGCAAGCCUGAUCCAGCCAUGCCGCGUGUGUGAAGAAGGCCUUAUGGUUGUAAAGCACUUUAAGCGAGGAGGAGGCUACUUUAGUUAAUACCUAGAGAUAGUGGACGUUACUCGCAGAAUAAGCACCGGCUAACUCUGUGCCAGCAGCCGCGGUAAUACAGAGGGUGCAAGCGUUAAUCGGAUUUACUGGGCGUAAAGCGCGCGUAGGCGGCUAAUUAAGUCAAAUGUGAAAUCCCCGAGCUUAACUUGGGAAUUGCAUUCGAUACUGGUUAGCUAGAGUGUGGGAGAGGAUGGUAGAAUUCCAGGUGUAGCGGUGAAAUGCGUAGAGAUCUGGAGGAAUACCGAUGGCGAAGGCAGCCAUCUGGCCUAACACUGACGCUGAGGUGCGAAAGCAUGGGGAGCAAACAGGAUUAGAUACCCUGGUAGUCCAUGCCGUAAACGAUGUCUACUAGCCGUUGGGGCCUUUGAGGCUUUAGUGGCGCAGCUAACGCGAUAAGUAGACCGCCUGGGGAGUACGGUCGCAAGACUAAAACUCAAAUGAAUUGACGGGGGCCCCGCACAAG